GCAGCGUGCCCUUCACGAUAUAGCAUGGCUGCUGUCAGCAAGGAUAGUAUGUUUGUGCGAUGCCUGUAGUCGUUCUCAUAUUUUACUUCAUAUUUACGAUUUCAUAUUUUACUUCACUGUACCUGCAGUGCAGGCAGAGGGGAUAUGGGUCGCGUCAGCCGAUAAAAGAAUCCAACGUGCCGACAGUGUCAGUCUGCAAGGUAUCUGUCCACGCCUGUGCCGCCUGCUCUGAAGAGCAUGGAGCCGAGGACACGACGACACGUCAAGGAAACGGUGCGCCUGGCCAUCUUCAUUAGUUUUUCCCGACUAAACGAGUACAAAAAUUAUGCGAAGCAUUAUGCGGGUAGCUGGCUGUCUAGCCUCCUUUGGUGUUGCGCAAAGUGUUACCAGAUGACAAUAUGUACGCCUCUGAUGAGCAACUGCGUGUGUGACGCGACGCUACGUGUGACUAUAACGACAAGACGACGGCGACACGACGGCUAUGGGGACGGUGUGUUCCUUGCACUCCGGCAUGGGUGGCAGAUGCAUGGCAUAAGCUGUCACAAAUAAUUAGAAAUGUGUGCCUUCGAUAAGGAUCUUGCUCACAACAAACGCCGAGGAGCAGCCUGAGCACCCGAUGCGUUCAUCGCCAUAGCCGCAACGUGACGCAGUGAUAGAGCGUGUUGCGCCUGGACACUGACAACAGUUUACUGACUUACGUGACGCAUCAUGUGCCACCAAAAAGAAUGUGUAAUGGUAGCCCUGCGAGUUGUCAGAUGUAGAAUCAGAAGUGUCUGGUUCCCAUUCUCCAGAAGCCGGCGCCGAGAGCGUUGAUAGAGUAUGUGCAUAUGGUAUAAGUGAGCUUUAAGACUCACAGCACCUUCAAAGCUGGGCUGCUUUCAUCUGCGCUUGGCCUGCUCUGAAAUCGUAAAAGUGGUGAAGGAACUGCAGACCCCAACGUGAAAGAUUUUUGACUGCGCAAACGUCGAUGAUUCCGCAAACAGAUGGCGGUACUAGUUAUACCAGCGCAAGGGGCGUCCUAUCCUCCAAAGGGUCCUUGCUUAGCCGUGUUAAAGGAUACCGCGCGACAUCCACAGAAGCCAGGCAAGCCUUCUACACAUAUUGAGACUUGGCGUGGCCUUUACCCAACGCUAUCACCAUCUUAUUGGCCGUGUGGAUAAAGCCCGAACCGUGAGAACUGCGCCAUACUGGAGACUAUAGACCUUGUGCUUUGCGUGCACCCGCAGCACUUGCGAGAAAGACACUCGAUGG